CAAACAUGGGUUCAGCUGCACACAGAGAAAGAGAGAAAAAGGGAGCAGAGAAGAAAGAAGAGAAAAUUAUCAUCUCCUUUCUCUGGCCUUAUCGUCUCAGGCUUUGAUCCAGCUCAGGCUGGAUCCUGAAGACAGCUGUCUUGGCAGAGGUGACACUGACUCCAAAUGGGAGCCCCCAGUGCCAAGGUGUCCAUCCCCCACUGAAG